AUUGAACGCUGGCGGCAUGCUUUAUACAUGCAAGUCGAACGGUAACAGGCCGCAAGGUGCUGACGAGUGGCGAACGGGUGAGUAAUGCAUCGGAACGUGCCCAGUCGUGGGGGAUAACUACUCGAAAGAGUAGCUAAUACCGCAUACGAUCUAUGGAUGAAAGCGGGGGACCGUAAGGCCUCGCGCGAUUGGAGCGGCCGAUGUCAGAUUAGGUAGUUGGUGGGGUAAAGGCUCACCAAGCCAACGAUCUGUAGCUGGUCUGAGAGGACGACCAGCCACACUGGGACUGAGACACGGCCCAGACUCCUACGGGAGGCAGCAGUGGGGAAUUUUGGACAAUGGGCGGAAGCCUGAUCCAGCAAUGCCGCGUGCAGGAAGAAGGCCUUCGGGUUGUAAACUGCUUUUGUACGGAACGAAACGGCUCUGGUUAAUACCCGGGGCUAAUGACGGUACCGUAAGAAUAAGCACCGGCUAACUACGUG
rnacentral:rRNA from 1 species